rnacentral:rRNA from 1 species
UACGUAGGGUGCAAGCGUUAAUCGGAAUUACUGGGCGUAAAGCGCACGUAGGCGGUUCGUUAUGUCGGAUGUGAAAGCCCUUGGCUUAACCGAGGAAGUGCAUCCGAAACUGGCGAGCUAGAGUACGAAAGAGGAUCGCGGAAUUCCCGGUGUAGAGGUGAAAUUCGUAGAUAUCGGGAGGAACACCGGUGGCGAAGGCGGCGAUCUGGGUCGAUACUGACGCUGAGGUGCGAAAGCGUGGGGAGCAAACAGG